rnacentral:rRNA from 1 species
UACGUAGGCAGCAAGCGUUGUUCGGAGUUACUGGGCGUAAAGAGUGCGUAGGCGGUGUCGAAAGUUUGGCGUGAAAUCUCCCGGCUUAACUGGGAGGGUGCGCCGAAAACUGCGGUGCUGGGGUGUGGGAAAGGCAAGCGGAAUUCCUGGUGUAGCGGUGAAAUGCGUAGAUAUCAGGAGGAACACCGGCGGUGUAGACGGCUUGCUAGACCAUAACUGACGCUGAGGCACGAAAGCGUGGGUAGCAAACAGG